AAACUGAUGAGAAAAUGUUUGACUGUGUACGGAUGCCCAGUCUAGCGUGGAGCCAGUCCGUCUGCCGGCCGACUGCCCUCCUGGAGACUCGAGAACAUCCGAUCCUCCUGUGGAGAGAGAGAGAGAAAGAGAGCAGAGUCAUAAUAUGGUGCUUACAGAGCUGAAGAAUGUGUCUGGAGCUGGGCGGCCGGGGCAGCGUGGCGCAGGGAUAAUGUCUAUGUUGCUUUCUGGGAGUCCUGUUUUAAAAGGGAUGAGGUGGGGCCAGGCAGACUGCUGAGUAAGCUAGCCACGACGCGGUCGCCCUCUAGAACAAACAACGGCACGAAAAGAAAGAUUCCCUGGCCCCUAUGCAUUGCAACACUGGAAAUAGACAGCUGUGACACUUAAUGUGAUGUGUAAGCAAAGUAAUGGUCACUUUGUAAAUCAAAUUUAAUGAAAAGAUGAGAUGUUUGAAGAACACUAAAUGCCCUGUUCUACAGACAAAUAAAGUACUUGAGCUUUGA